UGCUGCACGGCUGUCGUCAGCUCGUGUCGUGAGAUGUUGGGUUAAGUCCCGCAACGAGCGCAACCCACGUAUUUAGUUGCUAACGGUUCGGCCGAGCACUCUAAAUAGACUGCCUUCGUAAGGAGGAGGAAGGUGUGGACGACGUCAAGUCAUCAUGGCCCUUAUGCCCAGGGCGACACACGUGCUACAAUGGCAUAUACAAUGAGACGCAAUACCGCGAGGUGGAGCAAAUCUAUAAAAUAUGUCCCAGUUCGGAUUGUUCUCUGCAACUCGAGAGCAUGAAGCCGGAAUCGCUAGUAAUCGUAGAUCAGCCAUGCUACGGUGAAUACGUUCCCGGGUCUUGUACUCACCGCCCGUCACACCAUGGGAGUUGAUUUCACUCGAAGCCGGAAUACUAAACUAGUUACCGUCCACAGUGGAAUCAGCGACUGGGGUGAAGUCGUAACAAGGUAACCGUAGGAGAACCUGCGGUUGGAUCACCUCCUUU
rnacentral:rRNA from 1 species